rnacentral:rRNA from 1 species
CUACGGGAUGCACCAGUGGGGAAUAUUGCACAAUGGGCGCAAGCCUGAUGCAGCCAUGCCGCGUGUAUGAAGAAGGCCUUCGGGUUGUAAAGUACUUUCAGCGGGGAGGAAGGGAGUAAAGUUAAUACCUUUGCUCAUUGACGUUACCCGCAGAAGAAGCACCGGCUAACUCCGUGCCAGCAGCCACGGUAAUACGGAGGGUGCAAGCGUUAAUCGGAAUUACUGGGCGUAAAGCGCACGCAGGCGGUUUGUUAAGUCAGAUGUGAAAUCCCCGGGCUCAACCUGGGAACUGCAUCUGAUACUGGGAAGCUUGAGUCUCGUAGAGGGGGGUAGAAUUCCAGGUGUAGCGGUGAAAUGCGUAGAGAUCUGGAGGAAUACCGGUGGCGAAGGCGGCCCCCUGGACGAAGACUGACGCUCAGGUGCGAAAGCGUGGGGAGCAAACAGGAUUGAUACCCCAGUAGUC